GAUGAACGCUGGCGGUGUGCCUAAUACAUGCAAGUCGAGCGAACAGACGAGGAGCUUACUCCUCUGACGUUAGCGUCGGACGGGUGAGUAACACGUGGAUAACCUACCUAUAGACUGGGAUAACUUCGGGAAACCGGAGCUAAUACCGGAUAACAUGUUGAACCGCAUGGUUCAACAGUGAAAGACGGUCUUGCUUUCACUUAUAGAUGGAUCCGCGUCGCUUUAGCUAGUUGGUAAGGUAACGGCUUACCAAGGCAACGAUGCGUAGCCGACCUGAGAGGGUGAACGGCCAGACUGGAACUGAGAGACGGUCCAGACUCCUAAGGGAGGAAGCAGUAGGGAAUCUUCCGCGAGGGGCGAAAGCCGGACGGAGCAACGCCGCGUGAGCGAAGAAGGACUUCGGAUCGUAAAACUCUGUUAGUAGGGAAGAACAAAUGUGUAAGUAACUAUGCACGACUUGACGGUACCUAAUCAGAAAGCCACGGCUAACUACGUG
rnacentral:rRNA from 1 species